rnacentral:rRNA from 1 species
UGGGGAAUAUUGCACAAUGGGCGCAAGCCUGAUGCAGCCAUGCCGCGUGUGUGAAGAAGGCCUUCGGGUUGUAAAGCACUUUCAGCGAGGAGGAAGGUGGUGAACUUAAUACGUUCAUCAAUUGACGUUACUCGCAGAAGAAGCACCGGCUAACUCCGUGCCAGCAGCCGCGGUAAUACGGAGGGUGCAAGCGUUAAUCGGAAUUACUGGGCGUAAAGCGCACGCAGGCGGUUUGUUAAGUCAGAUGUGAAAUCCCCGGGCUCAACCUGGGAACUGCAUUUGAAAACUGGCAAGCUAGAGUCUCGUAGAGGGGGGUAGAAUUCCAGGUGUAGCGGUGAAAUGCGUAGAGAUCUGGAGGAAUACCGGUGGCGAAAGGCGGCCCCCUGGACGAAGACUGACGCUCAGGUGCGAAAAGCGUGGGGAGCAAAACAGGAUUAGAUACCCUGGUAGUCCACGCUGUAAAACGAUGUCGAUUUUGGAGGUUGUGCCCUUGAGGCGUGGCUUCCGGAGCUAACGCGUUAAAUCGACCGCCUGGGGAGUACGGCC